rnacentral:rRNA from 1 species
GACGAACGCCGGCGGCGUGCCUAAUACAUGCAAGUCGAGCGCAGGAAAUCGACGGAACCCUUCGGGGGGAAGUCGAUGGAAUGAGCGGCGGACGGGUGAGUAACACGUAAAGAACCUGCCCUCAGGUCUGGGAUAACCACGAGAAAUCGGGGCUAAUACCGGAUGGGUCAUCGGACCGCAUGGUCCGAGGAUGAAAGGCGCUUCGGCGUCGCCUGGGGAUGGCUUUGCGGUGCAUUAGCUAGUUGGUGGGGUAAUGGCCCACCAAGGCGACGAGGCAUAGCCGACCUGAGAGGGGGAUCGGCCACACGGGGACUUGGACACGGCCCAGACGCCUACGGGGGGCAGCAGUAGGGAAUCUUCCACAAUGGACGAAAGUCUGAUGGAGCAACGCCGCGUGAACGAUGAAGGCCUUCGGGUCGUAAAGUUCUGUUGUAAGGGAAGAACAAGUGCCGCAGGCAAUGGCGGCACCUUGACGGUACCUUGCGAGAAAGCCACGGCUAACUACGUGCCAGCAGCCGCGGUAAGAC